GAUGAACGCUGGCGGCGUGCCUAAUACAUGCAAGUCGAGCGAACGGACGAGAAGCUUGCUUCUCUGAUGUUAGCGGCGGACGGGUGAGUAACACGUGGAUAACCUACCUAUAAGACUGGGAUAACUUCGGGAAACCGGAGCUAAUACCGGAUGAUAUUUUGAACCGCAUGGUUCAAAAGUGAAAGACGGUCUUGCUGUCACUUAUAGAUGGAUCCGCGCUGCAUUAGCUAGUUGGUAAGUUAACGGCUUACCAAGGCAACGAUGCAUAGCCGACCUGAGAGGGUGGUCGGCGACACUGGAACUGAGACACGGUCCAGACUCCUACGGGAGGCAGCAGUAGGGAAUCUUCCGCAAUGGGCGAAAGCCUGACGGAGCAACGCCGCGUGAGUGAUGAAGGUCUUCGGAUCGUAAAACUCUGUUAUUAGGGAAGAACAUAUGUGUAAGUAACUGUGCACAUCGUGACGGUACCUAAUCAGAAAGCCACGGCUAACUACGUG
rnacentral:rRNA from 1 species